GACCUCGGUAGCUUAGCGGUCAAAAGCAGUGGGGCGUAAACCCAAAGCAACUGGGUUCGAAUCCCAGUCGAGUUCA